UACGUAGGGGGCAAGCGUUUGUCCGGAUUUAUUGGGCGUAAAGAGCGUGUAGGCGGCUAGGUAGGUCCGUUGUGAAAACUCGAGGCUCAACCUCGAGCUGUCGAUGGAAACCAUCUGGCUAGAGUCCGGAAGAGGAGAGUGGAAUUCCUGGUGUAGCGGUGAAAUGCGCAGAUAUCGGGAGGAACACCGGUGGCGAAGGCGGGUCUCUGGGCCGAAACUGACGCUGAGGAGCGAAAGCGUGGGGAGCAAACAGG
rnacentral:rRNA from 1 species